rnacentral:rRNA from 1 species
UCCUACGGGAGGCAGCAGUGAGGAAUAUUGGUCAAUGGCCGAGAGGCUGAACCAGCCAAGUAGCGUGCAGGACGACGGCCCUACGGGUUGUAAACUGCUUUUGCGGGAGGAUAAAGUGCACUACGUGUAGUGCUUUGCAGGUAUCCCGUGAAUAAGGACCGGCUAAUUCCGUGCCAGCAGCCGCGGUAAUACGGAAGGUCCG